GAUGAAGAACGUAGCGAAAUGCGAUACUUGGUGUGAAUUGCAGAAUCCCGUGAACCAUCGAGUCUUUGAACGCAAGUUGCCCCGAAGCCAUUAGGCCGAGGGCACGCCUGCCUGGGCGUCACACGUCGUUGCCCCCCCAUCUACUCCUUCGGGAUUGCGGGGGGCGGAUGAUGGCCUCCCGUGCGCCUCGUCGCGCGGUUGGCAUAAAUGCCAAGUCCUCGGCGACACACGCCACGACAAUCGGUGGUUGCGAAACCUCGGUUGCCCGUCGUGUGCGGUCGUCGCGCAUCGAGGGCUCGAAAAAAUUGCCGGGCUCCGGCUCGGCUUUCAACGCGACCCCAGGUCAGGCGGGGUUACCCGCUGAAUUUAAGCAUAUCAAUAAGCGGAGGA
rnacentral:misc_RNA from 1 species